rnacentral:lncRNA from 1 species
AUUACAUGGUAAGCAUAGUUCUUUUACUGUUUGCCUUUGAAGUCUUUAUUGGGGUUGGGGGUCUGUGUUUUUAUUGUUUUUGCUGAUUCUUACUCAAGUCUAGUUUCUUUAUGUUGCGGUUUCCUUUGUGUGUAGGACAUUGUAUUUGAAAAAUUAUUUGUGUAAACAAUUUGAGUCCCACAGGUGAAGGCCCACUAAUCUCCAGAAAGAAUUUUUGUUUGCUUCUUCUAGGCUUCUCAGGGGGCACUUUCACCUUAAACUAAGUUGAAGUCUUGAGCUAGCAAUUGAAUCAGGGGUUUAAAUUUUCUUCCUGGGCUGGCUCACUUCUGGUUCAUGCCUGUCUUGAGUGUGCAGCUCUGUGGAGGGGAGCUUCCAGUUUAUUUAGGAGACGAUCUUCUACGAAUUCUCCACAUUGUGCCAUCUCCCUUGCCCAGCAAGCCCUUCAAAACAAAGCUUCUAAUUUAUCCAGAUUGACAAAUGACUUCAGGGCAAAAGCAGUUUCUGUACCCAUUUCUCUUCAACCCAUUUACCUUCCAGAGUUCUCAUUUUCCCUUGACCUUAGGCCUUUUAAAGAACUAUCUUGUUAUCUCUUUGAUAAUUUUAAAAUGUUUCUUUUAAGUAUUUCAGUUGUUUUCAUCAAGAUGAUUGAUUCAAUACACAGGAAACAACUUCACUUCAAAUUCUCACUCUGUUAUUUUGUAGCUGCAUGGCUUUGGACAAGUUAUUUAACCUCCAUGUAACUCAGUUUUUUCAUGCGUAAAAUGGGGCUAAUACUACUACCUACAUUACAAGAUUACAUGUAAAGAAUAGUGCCAGGGUAUAAAAAGUAUUUGAUAAAUGUUAACUAUUAUUACUAUUGUCAUACCACCUUAUUUAUUUCCUUUAGGCCACUUACCACUUUCAAAAAUUGUCAUAUUAUUUUUAUUGUUGUUGUUUUCUCUUCUAGUAGAAUAUAAGCUUCAUAUUUUCAUAUUUACCACUAUAAAAUUGAAUACUAUUAUUUUAAAUGAAUUAAUAAGCAUAUUCAAGUUUUCACUAUAAAAACAUCGGCUUUGGGCCAGGCACGGUGGCUUAUGCCUGUAAUUCCAACACUUUGGGAGGCCGAGGCGGGCAGAUCACAAGGUCAGGAGUUUGAAACCAGCCUGGCCAAUAUGGUGAAACCCUGUCUCUACUAAAAAUACAAAAAUUAGUCAGGCGUGAUGGCAUGUAGUACCAGCUACUCGGGAGGCUGAGGCAGGAGAAUCGCUUGAACCCAGGAGGCGGAGCUUGCAGUGAGCGGAGAUCGUGCCACUGCACUCCAGCCUGGGUGACAAAGCAAGACUCUGUCUCAAAAAAAAAAAUAAAAAUAAAAAUAAAAAAUAAAAAAAAAUUAAAUAAAUAAAUAAAUAAAUCAGCUUUGGCUCAAUCCCAAUAGCACAAAUUGAAAAUAGGCCAGUUUAUGUGAAAAAGCAAACAAUCUAAAGUCUAUUCUAUAGCAUGUUCUUUUUUAAAAGAGUGAACUAAAAACCCACCUUAAUCCAAGAAAAGUGAAAUAAUAAUUAGACCAUAUUUUACAAUUUAAUUUCCAAAAUCACUUGGAUAUACGGCACAUUAUUUCUGUGUUCGAACAAAUAUGCCCCUUUUCAAAUUUUAAAUAACAAGAUACCUUAGUUCAAGUAUUUUUAAAAUUUGCAUAUGCACUCCUUUGCCAAAUAUCUCAAUCUUUCAUCAUUUAUCAUAAUUCUAGAGACUCUUUCUUCCAUGGAGUCAUUCCUCCAUUUACAGGGGUUCAGGGAUGUUCUGCACGUAAUUUCUCACAUUAUGACCUUUUGAUGAAACUGCUGCAUUAUGCAUUCUAUUCAGUGCCAGUGAAAGGAAUGAACUGUAAACAUGUUGAUUGUUAAUGCCUCAUCGUGGAUAGAGAUACCAUUUGGUUUAUCAUUUGGUAGCUAAAACUUCCCUAUUACCUCUGUCUUCUCCCAACUCAGAAUCUCAGAAGAUUAUAGAUCAUAUUAGACAGGCUGUUGAGUUCGUCUUAAGAAAUGCUCUCGGCCGGGCGCAGUGGCUCACGUCUGUAAUCCCAGCACUCUGGGAGGCCGAGGCGGGCAGAUCAUGAGGUCAGGAGAUCGAGACCAUCCUGGCUAACACGGUGAAACCCUGUCUCUACUAAACAUACAAAAAAUUAGCCAGGCGUGGUGGCAGGCGCCUGUAGUCCCAGCUACUCGGGAGGCUGAGGCAGGAGAA